GCCCCUGUAGCUCAGUGGCCAGAGCAACCGCCUUGUAAGCGGUAGGUCGUCGGCUCGAUUCCGACCAGGGGCUCCA
rnacentral:tRNA from 1 species